CGCGAUCAUUUCGAAGCAAGCGGUUCUCCUGAUCGGAUGUAAAAGUGAUUAAUAGAGCUCGAUAAACAAGUGUUUAUUUAAGUGUUAUAAAAAAGUGAAAAGUACAGAAAAAAGAUACAAAUUUAUUUCAACAUAUUGUACCCUGAGAAAGAAGCAAUUUUAUCUAGUAAAUGGGACACAUUUAAGGAAAAGGUUUUUUGCUUUUACGAAGAGCAAAUACAAAACAAAGAGCGACUUAAACUAUUAAAGACAGCUCAAAAAACUUUAUCAAUCGAUUCCAAGGACUACAAUUACUCUGUAUUGUCUGUACUGUCAGCCGUCAUUAAGGGAACCAACAAGCGAAAGAAUUUCUCACUACUGGACUCGCAGGAAAGUACGAAUGUUGCAAACUUUACUAGCUGCCCUAUGCAUAUGUAUUAUAUAAAUU